rnacentral:lncRNA from 1 species
AUGCUCUUGUUUUCAGUUCCACACAUCUUCCCCAGAGGGAACAUCAGUUUUGCUUAUGAAGAGAAUCGAACAGAACUACAAACUACUCAAAGCUUGCCUGAAGCUACAACUACUUUUCCUGCAGCAAGCACAAUAAAAGCUAAGAUUCCUCCCAAGGCCCCCAGGUGGGAAGGAUAUGAGGGGAGUGAUUACUGGUUUUCAGAAGACAUGGCCAGCUGGCUCAACAGCCGAACCACGUGCAAAACUUGGAAUUCAGAACUCGUGAUCAUCAAUGACAGAAAGGAACUGGAGUUUAUUUCUAACAAAACAAGGAUGGCUGAUUAUUUCAUUGGACUGACAUAUAUGGAGCCUGAAGAACAACAGCCAGCAAGAUGGCAGUGGAAUGAUGGUCGUGAACUCGAGAGGAGCUUUGCUGAUGGGUGCACCAUAUCCAACACAUGGCAAUCUCUCCUACUGGGUUUUCUAUGGGACCAUAUGUAAAGGGAAGAGAUUGUGCAACAAUCAGAGCAGGAAAAGGGAGUCCAGUAUCUUGUUAUGAGAAACAUCACUGGAUCUGUGAGAAAAACAACAGAUAAAUUCUUGGUGCAGAAGAAUCUAAUGGAGUGACCUGAUGGCGUAGGAGAGAAAACUGUACCUUGAUGAAUAAAAAUGCUGUUUUCUAACA